rnacentral:rRNA from 1 species
UACGUAGGGUGCGAGCGUUGUCCGGAAUCAUUGGGCGUAAAGAGCGCGUAGGCGGUCCGGUAAGUCCGCUCUGAAAGUCCGGGGCUCAACCCCGGGAGGCGGGCGGAUACUGUCGGGCUAGAGUCCGGAAGAGGCGAGUGGAAUUCCUGGUGUAGCGAUGAAAUGCGCAGAUAUCAGGAGGAACACCAAUGGCGAAGGCAGCUCGCUGGGACGGUACUGACGCUGAGGCGCGAAAGCGUGGGGAGCAAACAGG